rnacentral:tRNA from 1 species
UCCCUGGUGGCUCAGAUGGUAAAGCAUCUGCCUGCAAUGCAGGAGACCCAGGUUCGAUGCCUGGGUUGGGAA